UACGUAGGGUGCGAGCGUUAAUCGGAAUUACUGGGCGUAAAGCGUGCGCAGGCGGUUGGUUAAGUCUGAUGUGAAAGCCCCGGGCUCAACCUGGGAAUGGCAUUGGAAACUGUCCAGCUGGAGUGUGGCAGAGGGGGGUGGAAUUCCGCGUGUAGCAGUGAAAUGCGUAGAUAUCUGGAGGAACACCGGUGGCGAAGGCGGCAUCCUGGACCGGCAUUGACGCUGAGGCGGCGAAAAGCUGAGGGGAGCCAAACGGGG
rnacentral:rRNA from 1 species